GUGUUUGCUUCAGCAACACAUAUACUAAAAUUGGAAUGAUACAGAGAAGAUUAGCAUGGUCGCUGGGCAAGGAUGACACGCAAAUUCGUGAAGCCUUCUUUU